GGCAAGAUAAACAGAGACCCAGAGAAAAUAGGUGAAAACACUUUAGAAGAGUAAUAGAGAGGAGAUUGAACUAGAUUUCUGAUGGACAUAUGGCCAAAAUAACUAUUUAAAUAACUAAGGAUUAGCAGAAAAGGAGAAGACCAAGAGCACAGGAAAAAUAACCAACAGACGUCAAAAAGAAAGGAAGUCUGCCUCUUCUACUUCUCUUUUAAAGUUGCUUUGGUUUCCUUUUGUCCUCUUUCUAAGCCUGUUCAAGUCUGAGAUAGAUGAAAAGAGCAGCCAAAGAAACAGAUCUGUUGAAGCAUCAAUUGGAAAGGAUGGGAGGGUUGGAGGAGGAGCACAGCUGGAUGACUACAUUAGAUUGUGGCAUAUGAGGUCUGUUGAAGCAUCAAUAGGAAAGGAUGAAAGGGAGGGAGGCAGGCAGGAAGAGGAAAACACAGAAGAGCAGAUGAGGAGCACUCUAUGUUCUGCUUUCAUGAGCUGCUGGAGGACAUCAUGGAGGAAGAGGGAGAGGGUCUAUGAUAGGCAGUUUGCCAUGGCCCUAAAUGGGCCUUUGAAUGUUAAUUCUUCAUGCUUCAUAUCAUACAACUUUACAAUAAAAA